rnacentral:rRNA from 1 species
GACGAACGCUGGCGGCGUGCUUAACACAUGCAAGUCGAACGGAAAGGCCCUGCUUUUGUGGGGUGCUCGAGCGGCGAACGGGUGAGUAACACGUGAGUAACCUGCCCUUGACUUUGGGAUAACUUCAGGAAACUGGGGCUAAUACCGGAUAGGAGCUCCUGCUGCAUGGUGGGGGUUGGAAAGUUUCGGCGGUUGGGGAUGGACUCGCGGCUUAUCAGCUUGUUGGUGGGGUAGUGGCUUACCAAGGCUUUGACGGGUAGCCGGCCUGAGAGGGUGACCGGCCACAUUGGGACUGAGAUACCGCCCAGACUCCUACGGGAGGCAGCAGUGGGGAAUAUUGCACAAUGGGCGGAAGCCUGAUGCAGCAACGCCGCGUGCGGGAUGACGGCCUUCGGGUUGUAAACCGCUUUCGCCUGUGACGAAGCGUGAGUGACGGUAAUGGGUAAAGAAGCACCGGCUAACUACGUG